rnacentral:rRNA from 1 species
AUGGCCAAGAUCACAGGAACAGCCAUAUGUGCUCUCUUCAUCUUCUUCUCCUUCACUUGCUGCCUGCCUCCUCUUGCUGGAUCCUUGUCCUUCGACUACCCAACCUUCCGCUCGGAGGACCAGAAGGCCAUCAAGAUCGAAGGUAACGCUUCCUUCAGUGUUGGGCACAUCGACAUUAGCGGCAACAACUGGGACGUCCGUAAGAGCCAGGGGCGGGCGUCGUACAGUACCCAGCCAAUGUUGCUGUGGGAUGGGCACACAGGCGAGGUGGCUAGCUUCACCACCAGCUUCUCCUUCAUCAUCAAGCCCAAGUCCAACAGCAGCAGGGGGGCUGGCAUGGCGUUCUUCCUUGCCAGCUACCCGUCGAGCUUACCGACUGGGUCAGCAGGCUACUACAACCUCGGUCUCACGAACCAAAAAGAUGGCGCUGUGGCGGCAGGCGACAACCGGUUCGUGGCGGUGGAAUUCGACACCUCCAAUGAGACCGAGGUAUCAGAUCCCGACACCACUGUGGACCACGUUGGCAUUGACAUCAACUCGUUAAAAUCGGUGAAAACUUUGCCCCUGCCAAACUUCAGCCUCACUGGAAACAUGACUGCCGCUAUCCAGUAUGACAACAUUUCAAGUAUCAUGUCUGUCACACUAUGGCUUGGUGAUGGCCAUGGCCCGAUUUACAGACUUAGCUCCAAGGUUGAUCUCAAGAGCGCACUGCCGGAGCUGGUUGCGGUUGGCUUCUCGGCGUCGACGGGCAAAUCCGUUGAGCUGCAUCAAUUGCUUUCUUGGCACUUCAACUCAUCGCUGGAGGGCAAGACGGCAACAGUAGUAGCACCGCCGCCCUCCUCGAGAACUUCCAGUUCCGGAGUCAUAGCAGGAGCCGUUGCUGGGGCAUCGCUGUUCCUCGUGGUGUUCUUCUCCAUGUCAGCCUUCUUGCUACGUCGCCGCCAGAACAAGAAGAAGAGGGAGGCCAAGGACGAGGGUAUGGACUCGGAAGGCGAGGUGGUCAUGGAGAUGGAGUUCGGGACGGGGCCAAGGAGGUUCCCGUAUCGGCAACUCACCAACGCGACACGGAACUUUGCAGCAGAGGAGAAGCUCGGGCAAGGUGGCAGUGCAGUGUACAGAGGCCACCUGAGAGAGCUUGGCCUCGCUGUGGCCAUAAAGCGAUUCUCAAAGGAGUCAUCCAUGCAAGGGAGAAAGGAGUACACGUCGGAGAUCAACGUCAUCAGCCGGCUGCGCCACCGAAAUCUGGUGCAGCUUGUGGGCUGGUGCCACAAUCAUGAUGAGCUCCUGCUGGUUUAUGAGCUCAUGCCCAACCGUAGCCUCGAUAUCCAUCUCCACGGCAAGGGUACCUUCUUGACAUGGGCGAUGAGGAUGAAGAUAGUCCUCGAGCUUGGCUCUGCACUGCUCUACCUCCACGAGGAAUGGGAGCAAUGCGUGGUGCACCGAGACAUCAAGCCCAGCAACGUGAUGCUGGACGAGUCCUUCGGUGCCAAGCUUGGCGACUUCGGGCUCGCGAGGCUCAUUGACCACGCCGUCAGGAUGCAGACGAUGACCAUAGUGUCGGGGACGCCGGGCUACGUGGACCCCCAGUGCCUGAUCACCGGCCGCGCCAGCUCCGAGUCGGACGUGUACAGCUUCGGCGUGGUCCUGCUGGAGGUGGCGUGCGGGAAGAGGCCGAUGAGCACGUCCGCUAACAAGCAGGGCGUCUCCCGGCUCACCGAAUGGGUCUGGGACCUGUACGGCGAGGGAGGCAUUCUUGAGGCGGUGGACGAGCGGCUGAACGGCCACUACGAUGAGGCGGAGGUGGAGCGUGUGAUGGUCGUGGGGCUCUGGUGCGCGCACCCGGACUCGAGCGUGCGGCCGUCCAUCAGGACGGCCAUGGCCACGCUGGUGUCCAAGGAUGCCAAGCAGCUGCCCGUGCUGCCGGCCAAGAUGCCCGUGCCCACUUACGCGCCCCCGAUGGCACCGUGGGACGGGCAGUCGUCGUCUUCAGGUUUGUCGACGUCCACCGUGACGCGAUCGUCGACGACUAGCGGCUACACAGGGCCAGCGCCAAUGGUGACACCCAGGGCAUGA